GACGAACGCUGGCGGCGUGCUUAACACAUGCAAGUCGAACGAAGAGCGAUGGAAGCUUGCUUCUAUCAAUCUUAGUGGCGAACGGGUGAGUAACGCGUAAUCAACCUGCCCUUCAGAGGGGGACAACAGUUGGAAACGACUGCUAAUACCGCAUACGAUCUAAUCUCGGCAUCGAGGAAAGAUGAAAGGUGGCCUCUAUUUAUAAGCUAUCACUGAAGGAGGGGAUUGCGUCUGAUUAGCUAGUUGGAGGGGUAACGGCCCACCAAGGCGAUGAUCAGUAGCCGGUCUGAGAGGAUGAACGGCCACAUUGGGACUGAGACACGGCCCAGACUCCUACGGGAGGCAGCAGUGGGGAAUCUUCCGCAAUGGACGAAAGUCUGACGGAGCAACGCCGCGUGAGUGAUGACGGCCUUCGGGUUGUAAAGCUCUGUUAAUCGGGACGAAAGGCCUUCUUGCGAAUAGUG
rnacentral:rRNA from 1 species